rnacentral:rRNA from 1 species
CCUACGGGUGGCAGCAGUGGGGAAUAUUGCGCAAUGGGCGAAAGCCUGACGCAGCGACGCCGCGUGAGGGAUGAAGGUCUUCGGAUCGUAAACCUCUGUCAGCAGGGAAGAACGGUCACUGUGCUAAUCAGCAGUGAAUUGACGGUACCUGCAAAGGAAGCACCGGCUAACUCCGUGCCAGCAGCCGCGGUAAUACGGAGGGUGCGAGCGUUAAUCGGAUUUACUGGGCGUAAAGCGCUCGUAGGCGGUAUGUCAAGUCAAGGGUGAAAUCCCCGCGCUCAACGUGGGAACUGCCUUUGAAACUGGCAAACUGGAGUGUGUGAGAGGAUAGUGGAAUUCGAGGUGUAGGAGUGAAAUCCGUAGAUAUCUGGAGGAACAUCAGUGGCGAAGGCGACUAACGGGCACAUAACUGACGCUGAGGAGCGAAAGCGUGGGUAGCAAACAGGAUUAGAUACCCCUGUAGUC